rnacentral:rRNA from 1 species
UACGGGGGGGGCAAGCGUUGUUCGGAAUUACUGGGCGUAAAGGGCUCGUAGGCGGCCAACUAAGUCAGACGUGAAAUCCCUCGGCUUAACCGGGGAACUGCGUCUGAUACUGGAUGGCUUGAGUUCGGGAGAGGGAUGCGGAAUUCCAGGUGUAGCGGUGAAAUGCGUAGAUAUCAGGAGGAACACCGAUGGCGAAGGCAGCUCGCUGGGACGGUACUGACGCUGAGACGCGAAAGCGUGGGGAGCAAACAGG